UGACUGCCCAUGGGGGUGACAUGUGAGGGGAAAGGAGAAGAGCAGGGGGAGCCAAAGGCAGAAAUGGUCAUACAAGUACAUGGUGAGCACGUUUUGUUUCCCACUGGACAAACUUGAGGCUAGGACACAGGUGAGAGGCUUGGACACAGCGCGCAUGAAUGCCAGUUCUUUGCCAAUGUCACCUGCAUUUUCAGCUGAUCCUAGAUGGAGACAUUUUCAGUCCCUACUUGUCUCUUGAAGAUGGAAAAUCAUACAGCAGGAAUUCCAGCAGCAUGCUUCAAACAAAAUCUCUCUGCAGGAAAGAAUGGGUGAGGUUUGGUAAAAUGUGCUGCAUACACAA